AAUGAACGUUGGUGGCGUGGAUUAGGCAUGCAAGUCGAGCGUACCCAGCAAUGGGAAGCGGCAAACGGGGUAGUAAGGCGUCGGUACGUGCCUCCUGGACGGGGACAGCCACGGGAAACUGUGGGUAAUACCCGAUGACAUCGCGAGAUCAAAGGUGUGAUUCCGCCGGGAGAGCGGCUGACGUGGUAUUAGGUAGUUGGUAAGGUAAUGGCUUACCAAGCCUGGGAUGCCUAGGGGGUGUGAGAGCAUGGCCCCCACCAUUGGGACUGAGACACUGCCCAGACACCUACGGGUGGCUGCAGUCGAGGAUCUUCGGCAAUGGGCGCAAGCCUGACCGAGCGACGCCGCGUGCGGGAUGAAGGCCCUCGGGUUGUAAACCGCUGUCAGGGGGGAUGAAGUCAUGGUGGGUUCUCCCAUCAUGUUGACAGAGCCCCAGAGGAAGCGCGGGCUAAGUUCGUGCCAGCCGCCGCGGUAAUAC
rnacentral:rRNA from 1 species